rnacentral:snoRNA from 1 species
UUCCAUCGCUAAGUCAAGGCUCCUUUCUGCAUUUUGCAAAUUUCUCCAUGAAAGACGCCUGUUACAGCUUUGGUAUAUCAAGCCGCACCCGCCAACUCCUGUACUUGUAUGGAAGAUGGUUCUCGAAAUCGCUUUCGUCUUGGAAGCUUUAUCACCAGAGUGCAUGGCGUGCUUCGUUUGAGUUGAGGUCUGCUUUUCUGUUUAUAGCAUUUCUCUUAGUAAUGUCUCACACAUGC